AAGUAGGACAAGUCUCACAUUAAUUGUACAAGAGGUAAAAGUACACCAGGGAGAAAAAAGGCAACACGAUUGGCUUCGAACACUGUAACCGGAGGCAUCUAUACCGAUUGUUCCACGAUAAUCAAUAGUGACAUUGCUAACUGAUUAAGAUUUAUAAAGUAGUCGGGGGCACGUGCCCCCGUUCGUUGUACCGUAGAUCCGCCCCUGGAUUCAAGGAGGCAUGGUGAAGGUGAGAGUUGGCACUUCGCCCCGAAGUUACCUCCAGGGUUGGUCGAAUGGCACGAGCUCUGCACUCCUUGAAGCUGCGAUUUUCAGUCUGGAUUGUAUUGUUUGGUUUAUGGCUAAGGGUCGGGAUGGUGUUUGCUAGAGGGAUGGAGUUUAGCGAAAUGGGCCAUUGGUGAGGUUAUGUUAGUAUACGAACUGAAAUAACAUUACUAGGAGACUAAUAGUCAAGAGCAAUAUUGGAAACAUUUAAGCUUCAUGGUCCACCAGUUUAAUACUGUCUUUGUACUUUGUGGUCAAAUUCUAAGUCUCUCAUCUCUAGUCAUGAGGUGUACUCGGCUCUGUUGUGGUAAAAAAUACAGCAACGCUUAGAUUAUGUAGUGUAGGAUCCGUGAUUAUGGAUGUUACUAGAUCUCAUUGUUUAUAUGUUGGGUUUUAAUUUUGUGGUAUUGAUGACAAAAAAAAAAAAAAAUCUUGUGGUAUUAAUCAUUUAAUCCACCUUUGGGCUAAUGAAAGUAAUUUUGAGGGAAAAAAAACUUUCCUCAGUCGCUACAAAAAAGUGAAAAGGUUUUUUUUCUUUCCAAAAAUAAUCUACCGAUUUCAGCGGUUUCGUUAAAUCGGCCACACCGUACGCUUUUCAUCUAUUCUGUUUAGGUUUCACUUCUCAGGUUAACAUUAAGAUCUAUUUAGUGCCCCUGUUGUUGGGUAUAUAUAUAUAUAUAUAUGAUGUGUAUGGACAAAAUAAAACACAUUCUUUUAGAUUGAUAAGAGAAAACAAAGAAAUAUUGUCCAUAUAACAGAAACAAAAUUUUCAAUUUCUUAAAUCAUGAAGUGCGUUAUUUCAGUUCUUGUUUUAUGCGUUCUCAUGUUUCAUGUUUCGAACAUUGUGAAAGAAGUGAAUGGCCUGUGUGAAUAUGGUCGUAGGUAUCUUGGAAAAUGUGGCCCUGAUAGAAACAAGACGUGCCAGGUUGAUAAGAAGAUCAACUAUGUGAGGUGCCACUGUUCAGACAUCUUUUAUGAAAAGAAACACCAGCAUGACUGCUUUUGUACUAUUAAGGAACCUUGUGGUGAUUACUAAAGACAACAAGGCUGCUACUUCUACAAAAACUUCCUUCUGGUGAUUACUAAAUAUAUUAUUUAGUCUUACCAAUAAACUUAAUUUACUAAUAAAUAAGAGAUGAGGGAGAAGAGUUUUAUGUUAAAAAUUUGCUAUUUUACCAAAUAUCCAAUCUGGUCCACAAAAUAUAAAAAUAAUUUUUAAGAAAAUAAAAAUUUCAAUAUAAA